rnacentral:lncRNA from 1 species
UAUUAAAAAUUAUUAUUAUUAUUAUUAUUAUUAUUUAUUUAUUUAUUUAUUUAUUUAUUUAUUUAUUUACUUAUUUAUUUUUUCUUACUUGUUGUCCAUGUAAUAUAAAAUUGUAAAUAAAAAGUAUAUAAAAAAAAAAAAAAAAAAAAAUUAAAGUAAUCACAGUGAGACGUUCAAAGUCCGUAGGAACCCUGCGCAUCCUAAUUAACUUUACGCGCAAAACCUGACGUGAAAGUAAACAUAUGGUCAUGCUACGUAAAUAUAUUAUUUUAUCAGUCAUAUAAAACGUUUAGAGAGCCCAUAUCAAUGCAUACACAUAAAAAAAUAUAUAUUCGUGUAUCUUGAUACAUUUUGUACGUGUGUACGUGAACGUGACAAGGAGGAGGCGUUAUUUAAAAAUCACCUGCUGAUUUUCAGUUACUCUGCGAGCAGCGAGAGACGGAGACAGACGUUCGGAGAGCUUUGAACAGAGAAAACGUUUACCAGACCCACAGAAAAGUCUCUUUAGAGACUCCUACAGAACCAGAACCAGACCAGGACUUCAGACCAGUACCAGACAGAGAAAGACUUCAAACCAGAGGACAAGUUAAGACCAGGAGGAGACCAUGGGGCCACGCAUGGCAGAGUGUCCAGAGUUUUUAGGUUUUUUCCCUGACAGCGCUGGAACGCAAGGCUGGGUCCAGAGCUGGGCAGGACCUCCGGGUUUGGUCCCAGGUUUGCCUGAACCUCCGGGUUCGGUCCCAGACUGGGCAGAACCUCCGGGUUUGGUCCCAGGCUGGGCCGAACUUCUGGGUUUGCUCCCGACCUGGUACUUGACUCCAGAAGCAGCAGAAGACCUUGAAGAACCAGAAGACCUUGAAGAACCAGAAGACCUUGAAGAACCAGAAGACACAGACGCCCCUGAGGAGGAGCUUCCUGAGUGGACUGCGUUCUACUUCGACGAGGUGACCCCUGGCUGGGAGACCCCUGAGGAGUCUGCUUCCUCAGCCUCCAGUGACUCUGAAGGUGAGUAUUCCCAGGAGUCACCACUUGGACGCAGUGUCUCCAGGAAGAGGUACGUAGACGGUUCUGAGGAACCUGCAUCGUCCGACUCUGACAGUCACUGUGAGCCUGGGACGAAGAGGCCGAGACGGGACGACAGCUCUGACUCAUCUUAGAGUCAUCUGUACUU